GCCGAUAUAGUAUAGUGGCAAUACAGGUCCUUGGUAAGGAUCAGCGGCAAGUUCAAUUCUUGCUAUCGGCA
rnacentral:tRNA from 1 species